UACGGAGGGUGCAAGCGUUAAUCGGAAUUACUGGGCGUAAAGCGCACGCAGGCGGUUUGAUAAGUUAGAUGUGAAAGGCCCGGGCUCAACCUGGGAAUUGCAUUUAAAACUGGCCAGCUAGAGUCUGAUAGGGGGGGGUAGAAUUCCAGGUGUAGCGGUGAAAUGCGUAGAGAUCUGGAGGAAUACCGGUGGCGAAGGCGGCCCUCUGGACAAAGACUGACGCUGAGGUGCGAAAGCGUGGGGAGCAAACAGG
rnacentral:rRNA from 1 species